rnacentral:rRNA from 1 species
GACGUAGGGGGCGAGCGUUGUCCGGAAUUACUGGGCGUAAAGAGCACGUAGGCGGAUAUUUAAGUCAGAUGUGAAAGACCGCAGCUCAACUGCGGGGUUGCAUUUGAAACUGGGUAUCUUGAGGGCAGGAGAGGGCAGUGGAAUUCCUGGUGUAGCGGUGAAAUGCGUAGAAAUCAGGAGGAACACCAGUGGCGAAGGCGACUGUCUGGACUGACCCUGACGCUGAGGUGCGAAAGCGUGGGUAGCAAACAGGAUUAGAUACCCUGGUAGUCCACGCCGUAAACGAUGGAUACUAGGUGUAGGAGGUAUCGACCCCUUCUGUGCCGCAGCUAACGCAAUAAGUAUCCCGCCUGGGGAGUACGGUCGCAAGGCUGAA